AUGGCUGAUGAAGAAUCCUACAUGUUUGGGGCUUAGUGAUCGAGAAUCAAGAUUCUCUGAUCAUGAGUUUCACACAUUAUGGGUACCGGGAUCAAGAGUCCCACUGGUUGGGAUUUUUCGAUCAGGGUUACAUAUCGAUGAAUUCUGAUGCCUGAUUGCCCAUCGAAUUUGGACUCAGUAUUUAUGAGAGGUUUAAUUAGUGAUUUGAUCACUAAUUAACUCAAUUUGAUUGAGUAAUUAUUUUUGGAUCAA
rnacentral:lncRNA from 1 species